rnacentral:lncRNA from 1 species
AAAUACGUUUUCUAAUGCCAAAGGCGUAUUCCUGGCCGGUUAAUGGAAAAAUGCGCUUUCUGCUAUUUACAAGAUUGCCACUGAUUUUGUUUUGCUCAUAAAAUAUUCAUUUUAACUCCGUUUUUGUCCAUUCAAAUUUCGUUAGAUCCGUAGUUACAUGCUCUACAUGUUAGAAAUAUUAGUUUACUGUUUUGAAACUUUUUAAUUCUGCAGUAGCAUUUAAUUAAUUACUUCUCUAUAGGAAAUCUUAGAAAAUUCAUAUCUUUCACGUUUUAAUUCCGAUUUUCGUGAACUUUACGUUUGUGUGAUCGUAGCGCUGCGUAGAAUAUUUUCAUAAACUUUUAUCUUUGAUUUCUCACUGUUGGUGUAAUGUUCUAAUUAUACCUUGUUUGCUUUGUGUAUGAUUGUCUUCAUUGGAUUGCGUGUUGUUGAUUGAUGUUUGGGAAUAGACGGUGAGCCGUACGUUGGUGAUCAAGACCAAGCAUUUGAAGACCAGCAGGCUCAGGAGAGCUUUGAUCAAGGCAAGUAUAACUUGGGAAUAUCCUUGUUACCUAUACACAAUUAAUACAAUAUUGAUCAUAUGCAUGUGUCCACCUUGAUGACCUUAGCAAAAUCAUAGAUGAUUGUUAUCUGAAUUCCUUGUUACCUAUUUUGGAUAUGCAUUUGGGUAGUUCUUGCUAGUGCUUGAUUAUAAUCCAUGAUCUUGUAACAUAAAUGUUUGGAUAAACAAUAAACAAUAAAAUAAGCUUUCUAGCAACUUGAAU